GGCAAGUACAGAUAGGGACCAGACGGAGAGGAGGGAGAAUGGGGCGGCGGCCUGGAGCGUCGGUCGGAUGAGCACAGGAGAAUGACGGAGGUUUGAGGGCAUUGGAACAGCAGAUUGGAAUGGAUAGAGCGGGGGUAAAAUCAUAAUUUUGCUAUCCAGUAGGUGCUGGAAGCUCCUCCAUGCCAGAUUCUAGGAUUUUGAGAAUCCGGGAAUGUAAAUUCUGGAAUCCUCCCCAAAAUCCAAUCUGUUUGGGAGCUAUCCAGAUUAUAGAUUCUAGAUUCUUAAAAUCUUGGCUGAUCCAAAUGGUUCCUAAGCUAUUGGUUUGAUUUCCUGCUGGAGAAAAUACAAUGUGGUUGCAAAGACGAAAAC
rnacentral:lncRNA from 1 species